GAACUAAAAGGGCCCUCAGAGAGAAUCUCGCCUGAUCCAUUCAUUUUGAAUAAUACAAACUGACUUUCUUCAUUCUGGACGACUUUUUCCAAGGUUGUGGCAGCCUGUACAGUGAUCUUCCUUUCCCUGAAAAUCCACAGGGGCAACGAGCCCAACUAGCAACAUUCAAUAUCUGGGCUUCACCUUGACCCAGAAAAUGCAAAUCAAACUAUGCUGAAAGCUUCAUACAAAGGAACUGAAAGAUUGAUUCCUACAAGGUACAGCAUGGAAUGUUAUAAUUUCAUACCAGGGUAGAGUUGAACAGUUCUCCCUUCCAGCCAAGGGCAGAAAUGAGGAACCUGCCAGAUCGGAGAGUUCCCAAAUCUAAUCACCAUUUAUGCUAGAAUUCCUUCAGCUGCAAAUAAUGCAGGGUCUCAUCUUAGCAGUGACAAGAUAUCUGCCAGCAGCACCAGGCCUACAUCUUCCCAGCUUUAAAUUCAGUGAAAAGACAGGAUCUCUUUCUAAAGCACUGCA
rnacentral:lncRNA from 1 species